CUCACGCCUACUCUCUCGUUUGAAAACCUAAAGUCUGUGUCGAUUUCCACAGCUUCUAUCUCGCCUCUCUCUCUCUCUCUCUCGGUCUCAAUUCUUCUGAAAAAAACUCUCAUCCCUCACCUCUCUCUCUUACAAACUUCAUCAAUAACCAAAACUUAUUCGGACUGCUUAACCAACACUGAUCCAAACCCAUAUCUGAAAUCAAUGCUAAAGGGAAAGGGAAUCAAUCUCAAACCUAUUAAUGUUUUCUUUAUGAGUUCGUUGAAACGAUUUAAUUUUGAUACUUGGUGUUGCUUUCAAAUCUCUGUUAAAAUUAGAGAUUUCUGUAAUCUUCUUCUUCUUUUUUUACAUAUAUUUGUGGGUUUGUACAAAUACAUUAAUUUGUUAUGAAAUUUGGGUGUUUGUACCAAAGUUAGCAUUUGUUAGGGUCCAUGUUUUUUCUUCUUGUUCAUUCUAUCUCUAUAAUUUCACCUGUGAUGAUGAUUAUGAGUUCAAAACUCAUUCAACCUGAGCUGAAUAUUUUUUGGAUAACACUUUUAUUUGUGAAAAGCUCUCAUCUCCGACUUCUGAUUUCUUUCUUUUGGAAAUCGAAGAUCCAAAAGAGAGAGAUUAGGGAUUUUGAAUUUCUCUCAGGUUGAUAAAGUGGGUUUUCAAUUUGUUUGAAUUAGGGCUUUCAGUUUCGCUGUGGAUUUUGAUUUAAUAGGGGAAAUCGAAGCCACUGAGGAUUCAUUGUAAUGGGUUCUCUUUGAUUUGGUAGUUAACUUUUGGGCGUUUUUAAAAUCAGUUUUAUGGUUCUGGUAGUUUGGAUAAUGACAAAGCCAUUGAGACGUUGAAGGCAAACAUGAUCGAGGUUGUCAUCUGUGUGCGGAGGUAGCAAAAAACACUGUAGUGAAGAUGGCUAAAACUAGAUUUUCAUUUUCCUAUUUAAACCAAUUUUUUCAUCGUUUUUUAAUGAAGGGGUUUCUUGUUUGAGUGGCUAGUGUUAAUUACUUACAGUGACCUAGAGAACAAAUUUACUCCUAGGCUUGCCUUAUGCUCUUAGCCAGGUGGUGUCAGUGGUGGUGCUGUAGCUUUCGUUCAUGGAACCUAUAAGGUUGAACGAUAUAAGGUGCCUGGAAUAUUGAAGUUGGCACAUUUGCAAACAAUGUUGGGGAAUGCAACUAUUUUUUCAGCUUCUUCGUAGGAGUCUUUUCAUGUCCUACCCUGUGGAGACUUACUUCUUACUGGAGGGGAUCUUGCGCAGAUAAGCUAUUACAAGAGCUGGUUGAAGAGGUUAUCGGGGACCAUGAAAUGAUGAUUGCACAACAAUCACACUCAACAUAGGCACAUUCAGUUAGAAGGGGUAAAGAUAGCCAAUGCAUACCUUCGAAUUUUGUAUUCCUACAGGUGAAUCGAGUUGACCAAUUAGGCCCAUGCCAGUUCACAUCACUUCUCUGUUGGUCGAGGUCCCAAAUGUGACUAGUGUUAUCUAUAGAAGCAUCUACUGUUACAUGAGGAGACACUUGCAUGUUGUGGCUUGAGAAAUUAAAUCUGCUUGACCUGGGAUUUCUCAGUCGGCACCUAUACAUUUUACGAUCUUUCUUUUGAUAUUUGCUCUCUCUUUGCUGAAAUCAUCUUAUGUAGUACGAGAACUAGUACCUCUAAGGAACUUACUGUCCUCGCGAAUAAUAAAUAUGUCCUUUUAAACGUAUAUGGAUUACAACUGUG